rnacentral:rRNA from 1 species
AUUGAACGCUGGCGGCAGGCCUAACACAUGCAAGUCGAGCGGAUGAAGGGAGCUUGCUCCUGGACUCAGCGGCGGACGGGUGAGUAAUGCCUAGGAAUCUGCCUGGCAGUGGGGGAUAACGUCCGGAAACGGGCGCUAAUACCGCAUACGUCCUGAGGGAGAAAGUGGGGGAUCUUCGGACCUCACGCUAUCAGAUGAGCCUAGGUCGGAUUAGCUAGUUGGUGGGGUAAAGGCCUACCAAGGCGACGAUCCGUAACUGGUCUGAGAGGAUGAUCAGUCACACUGGAACUGAGACACGGUCCAGACUCCUACGGGAGGCAGCAGUGGGGAAUAUUGGACAAUGGGCGAAAGCCUGAUCCAGCCAUGCCGCGUGUGUGAAGAAGGUCUUCGGAUUGUAAAGCACUUUAAGUUGGGAGGAAGGGCAGUAAGUUAAUACCUUGCUGUUUUGACGUUACCAACAGAAUAAGCACCGGCUAACUUCGUG